rnacentral:rRNA from 1 species
GACGAACGCUGGCGGCGUGCCUAAUACAUGCAAGUUGAGCGCUGAAGGUUGGUACUUGUACCGACUGGAUGAUCAGCGAACGGGUGAGUAACGCGUGGGGAAUCUGCCUUUGAGCGGGGGACAACAUUUGGAAACGAAUGCUAAUACCGCAUAAAAACUUUAAACACAAGUUUUAAGUUUGAAAGAUGCAAUUGCAUCACUCAAAGAUGAUCCCGCGUUGUAUUAGCUAGUUGGUGAGGUAAAGGCUCACCAAGGCGAUGAUACAUAGCCGACCUGGGAGGGUGAUCGGCCACAUUGGGACUGAGACACGGCCCAAACGCCUACGGGAGGCAGCAGGAGGGAAUCUUCGGCAAUGGACGAAAGUCUGACCGAGCAACGCCGCGUGAGUGAAGAAGGUUUUCGGAUCGUAAAACUCUGUUGGUAGAGAAGAACGUUGGUGAGAGUGGAAAGCUCAUCAAGUGACGGUAACUACCCAGAAAGGGACGGCUAACUACGUGCCAGCAGCCGCGGUAAGAC